rnacentral:rRNA from 1 species
AGAGUUUGAUCAUGGCUCAGAACGAACGCUGGUGGCGUGCUUAUACAUGCAAGUCGAGCGAGGCAGCGAUGCCGAGCGGCGAACGGGUGAGUAACGCGUAAGCAAUCUGCCCCAUAUCAGGAAAUACCCGUGCCAACGCGCGGUUAAUGUCCAGGAGAGUGGCCCUCUGCAUGGAGGGUUGACUAGAGAUUUAUCGGUAUGGGAUGAGCUUGCGUCCGAUUAGCUAGUUGGCGGGGCAACGGCCCACCAAGGCGACGAUCGGUAGCCGGCCUGAGAGGGUGAUCGGCCACAUUGGGACUGAGAUACGGCCCAGACUCCUACGGGAGGCAGCAGUAGGGAAUAUUGCACAAUGGGGGAAGCCCUGAUGCAGCAACGCCACGUGUGGGAAGAAGCAUUUCGGUGUGUAAACCACUGUCAUGAGGGAAUAAGCCGCUUCCGGCGGACCUUGAUGUACCUUGAGAGGAAGCACCGGCAAACUUCGUGCCAGCAGCCGC